rnacentral:rRNA from 1 species
UACGUAGGGGGCAAGCGUUGUCCGGAAUCAUUGGGCGUAAAGAGCGUGUAGGCGGCCAGAUAAGUCCGCUGUGAAAUCUCGAGGCUCAACUUCGAGCUGUCGGUGGAAACUGUCUGGCUAGAGUCCGGAAGAGGCGAGUGGAAUUCCUGGUGUAGCGGUGGAAUGCGCAGAUAUCAGGAGGAACACCAACGGCGAAGGCAGCUCGCUGGGACGGUACUGACGCUGAGGCGCGAAAGCGUGGGGAGCGAACAGG